rnacentral:rRNA from 1 species
UGGGGAAUUUUGGACAAUGGGCGCAAGCCUGAUCCAGCAAUGCCGCGUGCGGGAAGAAGGCCUUCGGGUUGUAAACCGCUUUUGGCAGGAACGAAACGGUGUCCGCUAAUACCGGGCGCUAAUGACGGUACCUGCAGAAUAAGCACCGGCUAACUACGUGCCAGCAGCCGCGGUAAUACGUAGGGUGCGAGCGUUAAUCGGAAUUACUGGGCGUAAAGCGUGCGCAGGCGGUUGUGUAAGACAGGCGUGAAAUCCCCGGGCUCAACUGGGAAUGGCGCUUGUGACUGCACGGCUGGAGUGCGGCAGAGGGGGAUGGAAUUCCGCGUGUAGCAGUGAAAUGCGUAGAUAUGCGGAGGAACACCGAUGGCGAAGGCAAUCCCCUGGGCCUGCACUGACGCUCAUGCACGAAAGCGUGGGGAGCAAACAGGAUUAGAUACCCUGGUAGUCCACGCCCUAAACGAUGUCGACUGGUUGUUGGGUCUUAGGUGACUCAGUAACGAAGCUAACGCGUGAAGUCGACCGCCUGGGGGAGUACGGCCGCAAGGUUGAAAC